rnacentral:rRNA from 1 species
UUAGGCGCGCGGGUCAAGCUUGACAGGUCUUUGAUGAGGACGUCGGGUUAUAUUUAUUCACCCGUCCGUAUACCCUGAGUCCGACGAGUUUGAUGUGGGGGUUCUUCAGUGUGCAACCAGUGCGGUUGGAAGUCUAGCUUGCCUCACACUCCUUCACACUAAGUGACGAGAAGCGGUAGAUUAGAAGAAGCAGUUCCCGUUCGGUUCAGGUUGUCUUGAACGAGGUCACCGUGCGGUUAAGGAGUAUGUUCAUAUAAAUAUGCGCUCGGUUAUCUAUACUGUUCAAGUUCAGUCAGCAGAAACCUACUACUUCACUGUUUGCUUAGUAGAUGCUAAAAAGGAUGAUUACCGUACGAGUAUAGUUGACUCCCGAACCUCGCUCCUCUUUCGAGUUUUCCUGCUUUCGCACAUGCACUUCGUUAUUCUAUACGAUCGGCAUGUGGUCUUGUUUAGGUUCGUUCCUCUCUUGCACAAUCUCGUGCAGCCGUUUUAAAUUGUGGACGACUCUCCCUUUUCUAAUUACGUGUUUCUUCUCUCUUUUCUGUUGCUUACCGUGAACUACUCUCCUUACGUUCGGUUGCUCGUGCAUCCGUUUCAAACUGUUAUCUACUCUCCGUUCUUUAUUUACGUGCGGCCGCUCGUGCAUCCGUUUCGGAUGGUGGACUUCUCGCCGUUCGUGAGGAUCGAGUUGCAUUACGUUCGAUGCGUAGAUUUGCUCUACGGGAGACGUCCCUAAGACAACGUGAUGUCACGGGAUGUCCAAGUAACUACCCUGUAGGUAGUAGUUCAAGAAUACAGAAAUCGGUGGGUCCAUGCGAGCGUGUUUGAAGACGAUGCUAAGUUCCAUUAAGAGUGUGUGUAGACAUAUAUACAUUGUUGUAGCUAGAAGUUUAAUGUAAAUCCUCUACUACUAUGAUAGGUCGUGUACCUUGAGUGUAGCCACGUUACAGGUUGUAGAUGUAGUCACCUGUUAGGUAGUAGUGGGGUACUACCAAAGCAUAUAAGUCUAAGGGGUUAUCUUUCGAAACAGCGGCUACUACUACUAAGAGUGUACAGACUUCUUGUUCUACUACUCAUGAAGCGUAAACGACCCUCUCCACUGCUACUUCUGAACCAUCUACGGAAAUGUUGUCUGUGGUAACAGGGACUGGAUAUACUAGCACAGAUGGUGUUAUAUGGUCAUUCAUGAGUGUACAACUGUGGUUUUGGACUAACGUUAGUGACACCACGUUUCUCCAAGGUCAUACUUUGUUCACCUAAAACAACAGCCAGGCCUUUCUAAUUGGAUCGUGUGAGUCUUGGAGGGAACCUUGAAGUUUACAAUAUGUGUUCAAGUCUAGGGUUACUGCACGUAAAAUCCCUCUUGUAAGCCAUGAAAUUACCUGUGAAGAGUAAGUGGUGGGAACCUCAGUCAGACCUGUUAUCUAUGUGUUUGUACUCAAGUCCUCACAUAUGUAAGACUCGAGUGCCAGUCUAAAUGGUGUUGCAGAAGAGUAAACCAGGUUGAGUUCUACCUGGAUUCGUAAACCUCGAGAUGAAGAUACUACUACUAGGGUCAAAUGUUGUAUCCAAAGCCGCGAGGGGUUUGGAUCUGGCUCUACAGUAAGCAUUCGAACAGCUGUAGGAGUUCCUAUUAGGAAUAAGACUCUGUAAGUCCUUAGAUCCACCUCAGCUACUGGAACUCCUUAUGGCAUAACUUGAUUUGUGGCUGUACUCCAACCUGGUUGCCUCUAUAUUGAACGGAUAUAGUAGCCUCCAACGCCGAUAAACCCAACUCCCAUUACUUGAUACAUUCGUGAAACUAGCAUCGUAUCAUGAUAAACCAUUCCUGUUGUUCUCUAUAUCGUAGGUCGGUAUAAUACCUACGAUACUAGGCAACAGAAUGGGAAAUAAGAAAGGUUCUCCCCUCUAACCAACCGUAGGGCUUUAGGGCUUCUUACCGCAGUUGAACUUACUCUAUGAAGUUAGAGCAGCGUGACCAGCUGUAUCAGAUCCAUUAAGUAUAUUGCCUUUAUCGUACACAAGUAAAACAAAUAGGAGUAACAUGAAUGAAAAGAAUUAUAAAGGAGAACAAUGGAGAGUAAAGGUAUCCAUGUAUAUGUUUAUCAGCUAAUACGCAUAGACAAUCUCUGAUGAUAAAAGAUGUUCAAAGUUUAUGCAGCACCACAUAAAUUGUGGUACGAUAUACCAUUUGCUGACAAGGUUGUCAUACACCAACUAUACAUGUAGUUCCAACUUUCGAGUUCUAACCUGAUAUAGUCUUUAGUGGUCUUUGUUUAUGCACGACUAGAUAUGGUUCCACAACAACUAUCGGAAGUUCGACCCCUUUUUGCACGCCUACGUCACCCGUUUACCUGAUAUGAAGGAUGUAGUAAAUAACCCCCUUUUUCUCUAUCCUCUGCUUCCAUAGAACUACGGUACCGGAACCACGUUUUCAUACCCUUUGGUCUAUAUAAAAAUUGGUACUGAACGUUAGGUUUAACCCUACUCUAUUAAUCACUCGAUCUCGGACCUGUUUGGGGUGUCCUAGCGGGACUAGAAUAGCAUGCUCAUAAAGCUCGUUUCAACCUUCUGGAGUUCUAUGUUGAAAAAUUCUUCGUGUACGAGCUGUUUAGGUUCAUGGGUCUCAACAUGUUUUACCAGCAGUUCGUGUACUACGUACCGGGCACACCUCAGGAGUUGGGGUUCUUGCACACGUACGUUUUACCAUCGACGUUCUUGAUGAUAGGUGCUGGUAAAUUACGCAGUUGGGAAGUCCCUUUCCUGAGUAUAGGGUAUAUGGCCUCCUCUCUACUACCUGCAGCACGCUUCCAUACCCCACUUCUAAAUCUGUUAUCCACCCAACAAGGUAUGUUAGGAAUGGAUGAUUCUUCCAUAUUGACGGUGUAGUUACAACUCCAAACGAGUUCGUAUUUUCAACACUUCAUGGAGAAAUUUAUGUAUAUAUUCCCCGUACUAGCUCGUAGACAAAGAUAGCUGCGCCACCUAUCACUGCCUUUGUAACUACUUUAUUUCGUUAUGUCUCUAAGGUCUACCCAAUGUGGUGGUCUUCGUAAUACCUCCUAGAUACCAAAACUGGAAUCACUCUAUAAAGGAAGACAAUCCGUCGAUGUUGAGGUGGAGGGAUUAUACGUGUACCACAGUAAGGGCCGCCCGCGUUUAGACUUACUACAGGAGAGGGUCCUUCCUCGAGGGUUCUGGUACGAUUGGCUCAUAAAACUUCGUUUGUUCUUCAUACUCAACCGGACCCCUUAAAAUAUAUUCCUAAAAGGCCGUAGAAAAUAAACCUAGAGCCCACCUUUCAUAACCUUUUCCUCCCUACUUGCGUGUGUCUAGCCCUCUUAACACAGACGAGUAGGUCGGCUUCCCCUCUCCAUAAUAGAAUCUCACGAAGAUUUGGUACAGUGUCCACGAUGUAGAAAGGUUCUGGAUUCCUGUCACCUACCAUAACAAAAGGGCUGUAAAGCACUUCGACGACUUUCCUCCCCAGAAUAGCUCAGUCUAUUAUGAUAACUGCUCACAGAAUUACUUCGACUCCAAAAAGUCUACGGUAGAAGGGAAGCUUCCGAUAAACGGUGAUAUAACCAGAAAACACUCGGGUCGUUACACGCACAAGAUACCCUGUCCGUGAACCUUCGAUACUGUCUUCUGAUAGCUGAUAUGGUGUACAGGGGAGUACGUCAACUCGUCUACCGAAACAAUCUAUAUUUUUCAUACAAACUUAGCUACCCCUUCCUGUAUAGUAGUAAGGGAGAAGGUCUUUAACUACUCAGCAUACUACCGAGUUUAUUGCUCCGAUCCCUCUAGUGUCUCCUCAGCUGCUAUCCCCACUUGGGUCUUGUGGAACCGAAAAGUAGAAAGGAUUUGGGUCUUGUCUCUAUACGUAUACUACUCUAUGAACGUUGUUAGUUAUCACCGGUUCCUCCACACAAGAAACAACUACCUGGUCCUCCGUGACCUUUCUGAAUAGAUAUGUUUCGUGAUGAACGUUUUCAUGCACCACUCCCAUUUUAUCGAUAACGUUAUCGCUGUAGUCCGCAACGACGUAGGUAGAACGGGCCGCCCUCCUGACGUGUGAGUUCCAAAUUUUAUGGUAACUUGUAACUUCUACCACCUCAAACGUCGAAGUGGUUCGUUUCACCCUGUCGAUUCGAAGAAUACUCGCGGAGGGAGUAUUAAACCCUACUCCGGAGGUACUGUUCCUCUGUCCGUCAGCUCCGGGAACUAUUAUCGUACUCCCUGUAGUACCGAGUUGGACUGGACGGUAAACCGCCUUUCUGAUAGCACAAACCCCCUCUAAAGUCUGUUCACGAAGGACAACAAGCGUUCCCUUGUUCCAGUGUUUAUUAACUGCGCUGCGAUGCGUUCAGAAUGGAAACCCUCUCAUACUCUGUAUAUUCUGAACAGGCAUUAUACUCCCGAGUUUCACUAGGUACCAAACGACUAAUAGAAGACGCACAACCCUUACCGUGGCUUCUAUGAUACCUACUACCAAUGUAUGCUAAGGGUCUACUCUAAACACAUGGUAUAUGGCCGCAACGGAGACUAUAACUGUUCGAAUAACUUUCACAAAAGGGCUACGGCGAUCUACUUUUGGAGAACCUAGGUUUGAUGUAUUGCAGGGCUCGUUAAGAUAGUUGAGCCUUACUCAUGCAACUGUUUUAGUUAUACUCCUACUAACUCUCUAAAGGACCCCUCCUCUACUAUAUGAUGUCAAAACUAGCGCGCCUCCUACUAGGUGUGUUGAUGAUGGGACGUCUUAAGAACUUAAGUAACUGUGGAUUACCAUAUGGAGGGGUAUAGGAGUUCAACUUCUAUUAACAAGAUAAUAUAACAAUGCCUUGUAACUGGGUCGCUCACCCAACACGUUGCCCUGCUCCGACU